rnacentral:piRNA from 1 species
UACGUGUCAGAAGUGGUGAUUGGAGCCCC